CCUACGGGAGGCUGCAGUGAGGAAUAUUGGUCAAUGGGCGGGAGCCUGAACCAGCCAAGCCGCGUGAGGGAAGAAGGUACAGCGUAUCGUAAACCUCUUUUGUCAGGGAACAAAGGCGGGGACUAGUCCCCGGAUGAGGGUACCUGAAGAAAAAGCAUCGGCUAACUCCGUGCCAGCAGCCGCGGUAAUACGGAGGAUGCGAGCGUUAUCCGGAUUUAUUGGGUUUAAAGGGUGCGCAGGCGGCCUGUUAAGUCAGCGGGAAAAGCCCGGGGCUCAACCCCAGCGAGCCGUUGAAACUGGCUGUCUGGAGUUGGAGAGAAGUACGCGGAAUGCGCGGUGUAGCGGUGAAAUGCUUAGAUAUCGCGCAGAACCCCGAUUGCGAAGGCAGCGUACCGGCUCCUCACUGACGCUGAGGCACGAAAGCGUGGGUAUCGAACAGGAUUAGAUACCCGGGUAGUC
rnacentral:rRNA from 1 species